rnacentral:rRNA from 1 species
UACGAAGGGGGCUAGCGUUGCUCGGAAUUACUGGGCGUAAAGCGUGCGCAGGCGGUCUGCUAAGAGAGAUGUGAAAUCCCCGGGCUUAACCUGGGAACUGCCUAUAAAACUGUGUGGCUAGAAUAUAGAAGAGGGAAGUGGAAUUUCCGGUGUAGCGGUGAAAUGCGUAGAUAUCGGAAAGAACACCAGUGGCGAAGGCGAACUUCCUGGUCUAAUAUUGACGCUGAGGUGCGAAAGCGUGGGGAGCAAACGGG